UUACGGUCACAUCACGUUGAAACACCGGUUCACGUACGAUCACCGAAGUUAAGCAACGUCGCGUCUUGUCAGUACCUAGAUGGGUGACCGCUUUGGAUUUAGC